CUGUCUCUUGCUUCAACAGUGUUUGGACGGAACCG
rfam:TPA: Bos taurus chromosome 8, whole genome shotgun sequence.